rnacentral:misc_RNA from 1 species
UAAAAAAAAAAAAAAAAAAAAGAGUAUGUUGAUUAUAUCAAAACUAGAGAGAAAUAAUAAUUUUAGUUUAUCAUGGGUAGGGAUCCUAUUGCUGACAUAAUAACCUCUAUAAGAAAUGCUGACAUGAAUAGAAAAGGAAUCGUUCGAAUAGCAUCUACUAACAUCACCGAAAACAUUAUUAAAAUACUUUUAAGAGAAGGUUUUAUUGAAAAUGUCAGGAAACAUAAGGAGGGCAACAAAAAAUUUUUGGUUUUAACCCUACGACACAGAAGGAAGAGGAAAGAACCCUAUAGAACUAGUCUAAAUUUAAAACGGAUCAGCCGACCUGGUCUACGAAUCUAUUCUAACUAUCAAAAAAUUCCUAGAAUUUUGGGCGGGAUGGGCAUUGUAAUUCUUUCUACUUCUCGGGGUAUAAUGACAGACCGAGAAGCUCGACUCGAAAGAAUCGGCGGAGAAAUCUUGUGUUAUAUAUGGUAAUCUUUCUGAUAUCCGAAUUGUAUCCAGACUUCCUAUUUGUGAAAAAAAAGAGAAAGAACGAGUUUCUAAUAUUAUUCCUCUUAAAUUACAUUAGUUGAUACUUUAAAAGGAUUUUUUUUUUUUUAAUGGAAUGAAAGAACAAAAAUGGAUUCAGGAAGGUUUACUUACUAAAUCACUUUUUCAAUAGUAUGCUCCAAGUUCGUUUAAAUAAUAAAGAUCUGGUUUUAGGUUAUAUUUCAGGAAAGAUCCAACGUAGUUUUGUUUUAUACGUAUACUACCAGGAGAUAGUGUCAAAAAUGAAGUAAGUACUUAUAAUUCGACCAGAGCACGUCUAAUUUAUAGACUCCGAAACAAAAAAUUGAAUGAUUAGGCAGUUUUUUUUUUAAACUUUUAAAUAAAAUUCCUUUCACUUUCAUAGGGAUACAAUUCAAGAUUUCAAAAUUAAAAGAAACUCAUUUUCUUCAAAAAAAAUAUGUAUAUUCAAAAUUUAAUUUUUUAAUUUAAGGGAUGGCAAAUAUGAAAAUAAGAGCUUCUGUUCGUAAAAUUUGUGAAAAAUGUCGACUGAUACGUAGACGAGGGCGAAUUAUAGUAAUUUGCUUAAACCCGAGACAUAAACAAAGACAAGGAUAAUCUUUCUAAGCAGAAUGCUCUAAAGGAUCCGAUGUACAAAUAAAAAAAAAAGAUUUAUUUUGACAUGAAAUGGAUAUAUCCAUAAAACUCUGACUUAUAUUUAUGAGAUGAUAAAAUAUGGCAAAACCUUUACCAAAAAUUGGUUCACGAAGAAACGGACGUAUUGGUUCGCGUAAGAAUUCACGUAAAAUACCAAAAGGAGUUAUUCAUGUUCAAGCAAGUUUUAACAAUACUAUUGUGACCGUUACAGAUGUACGGGGUCGAGUGAUUUCUUGGUCCUCCGCUGGCACUUGUGGAUUCAGGGGCACAAGAAGAGGAACGCCAUUUGCUGCUCAAACCGCAGCAGGAAAUGCUAUUCGGACAGUAGUGGAUCAAGGUAUGCAACGAGCAGAAGUCAUGAUAAAGGGUCCUGGUCUCGGACGAGAUGCGGCAUUAAGAGCUAUUCGCAGAAGUAGUAUACUAUUAAGUUUCGUCCGGGAUGUAACCCCUAUGCCACAUAAUGGCUGCAGACCCCCUAAAAAAAGGCGCGUGUAAAAAAAAAUAUUGAAGAGAUUUCAAGAGAAAUAAAUAAUUCAACAAUUUCAAUAUUAUUAUGGUUCGAGAGAAAGUAACAAUAUCCACUCGGACACUGCAGUGGAAAUGUGUUGAAUCAAGAACCGAUAAUAAACGUCUUUAUUAUGGACGCUUUAUUCUGUCUCCUCUUAUGAAAGGCCAAGCCGACACAAUAGGCAUUGCGAUGCGAAGAGCUUUGCUUGGAGAAAUAGAAGGAACAUGUAUCACACGUGCAAAAUUUGAGAAAAUACCACACGAAUUUUCUACUAUAGCAGGUAUUCAAGAAUCAAUACAUGAAAUUUUAAUGAAUUUGAAAGAAAUUGUAUUAAGAAGCAAUUUGUAUGGAACUUGUAACGCAUCUAUUUGUGUCGAGGGUCCUGGAUAUGUAACUGCUCAAGACAUCAUCUUACCGCCUUUUGUGGAAAUCAUUGAUAAUACACAGCAUAUCGCUAGCCUAACGGAAGCAAUUGAUUUGUGUAUUGGAUUACAAAUCGAGAGGAAUCGCGGCUAUCGUAUAAACCCAACAAAUAACUUUCAAGUUCAAGACGGAAGUUAUUCUAUAGAUGCUGUAUUCAUGCCUGUUCGAAAUGCGAAUCAUAGUGUUCAUUCUUAUGGAAAUGGGAAUGAAAAGCAAGAGAUACUUUUUCUCGAAAUAUGGACAAAUGGAAGUUUAACUCCUAAAGAAGCACUUCACGAAGCCUCCCGGAAUUUGAUUGAUUUUUUUAUUCCUUUUCUACAUGCAGAAGAAGAAAACUUACAUUUAGAAAAAAAUCAACACAAAGUUACUUUACCCCUUUUUACUUUUCAUGAUAGAUUGACUAAAUUAAGAAAAAAUAAAAAAGAAAUAGCAUUGAAAUACAUUUUUAUUGACCAAUUAGAAUUGACUCCUAAGAUCUAUAAUUGCCUCAAAAGGUCCAAUAUACAUACAUUAUCGGAUCUUUUGAAAAAGAGUCAAGAAGAUCUUAUGAAAAUUGAACAUUUUCGCAUAGACGAUGUAAAACAUAUAUUGGGUAUUCUAGAAAUAGAAAAACAUUUCGCAAUUGAUUUACCAAAGAAUAAAAUAUAAAUCCAUUGGAUUUAUAUUCAUUUUCAUCUUUUUUUUUUCUAAAGAAGAUGCAAAUGAAUUUUGAAUCUUUAGCACAAAUCCAUAUAUUCGCGAAAUAGAUCAAAAUUUUAAUUGAAUGGAUGUUAUCUAGGGAGAAUUCACUUUGAAGCGACUAUUCCCUAGAUAUACACGUCAUGAUAUUUUAUUUUACAAUUGAAUCAAUUUGAAAAAGACCUAAAGUUAGGGAUUUAUCAAUAGGUAAUGUUGCUCCAAUACCUAACCAAAGGGCUACCGCAGUACCAAUCAAAAAGACGGUUGUCGCAACUGGACGACGAAAUGGAUUUUGGAAUUUAUUAACAUUCUCCAAAAAAGGUACUGUUAAUAAUCCUGCAGGUACUGAAACCAUUAAAAGAACACCUAAUAACUUAUUGGGUACUGUACGAAGUAUUUGAAAUACGGGAAAGAAAUACCAUUCAGGCAAUAUUUCCAAAGGCGUUGCAAAUGGAUCCGCAGGUUCACCAAUCAUUGAUGGUUCUAGAACUGCUAAUCCUACAUUACAUGCAAUAGUACCUAGAAUUACUACUGGAAAAAUAUAUAAAAGAUCAUUGGGCCAUGCAGGUUCUCCGUAAUAAUUAUGACCCAUUCCCUUAGCCAAUUUAGCUCUUAAUACAGGAUCAUUCAAGUCAGGUUUUUUUGUUAUUGGGAUAGGUGAAUUCUUAUAGAUCCAUCCUCCGAAAGAACCGGACAUGAUAAUUUUUCAUCAUCCGGCUCGAGCAAGAAUCAAACGAAUCAAAGAGAUCCAUAUAAAAAAAUCUUGUAUGUCUAGAUGUUAUAAAAUCUAUAUUUAUAAAAUCUAUAUCUAUAUGUUAGCCAUGUCUACACAUAUAUGAAUGAUUUUAUGUUAUGUAAUAAAAAAUUUUAUGUAAUAAAAAAUUGACUGGAUUCCUUUUUCCAGAACUGCAAUUAUCCAUUGCAAGGAAUUCGUUCUUACAGGUAAAUGCUCAAUACCCAAGUAGGCCUAAAAGGUGAUCAUGAUCAAGUACUUUUUGGGUCGUCUCAGACCUUUCGAUUGGCCUUUAUCUCAAAAAAAUAUCGAGACUUUUUACAUACAAAGGAUUUACUUGUUACUAAUAUAGUUUAGCCCCUGUCAUUCUUUAGAUCCCUUAUUUCACUUCACUCCGAUAGUAUCAUAAAUCGGGUCAAUGCAGAGAAAAUGACUGCAUUUCCAUACUAUAAAGUAUUAAGUAAUAGUAAUUAAGUAAAUGUUAAAUAAAUAAAAUAAAUAAAAUAAAACUAAGUAUAAAUAAGUAAAAUAGCUAAAAUAGAAUAUAGAUUCUACCACAUCACUUAUUCUACUGGGUUUUACGGAGCCUGUUCAUGCACAACAUGAUUGGAUCUGAUCAUAGAAAAGAUUCUCUUCAAGUGAACCAGCCUAUCCUUUGUAUGGGGCUUACGCAGUGGUUGGAACAAAGACACAUUUGGUUAUUAAUUCCAAUGUGGCGGAUAAAGGCAUAUAUCCGCACGGCUAAAUCAAUAGUCCAAGUCACACACUCCCAUAAUCCAUUUUUCUCUUAGAGAAUUCACUUCAACUAUUCAUGUCAAAUAAAAAACACAAUUUUUUGGAGUUGAAGGGAAAUAUCCAAAUACAUGUCUUAUUCUUUUCAAUAAUCCAUAUUUGUAGCAAUGAAAUACUAUUCUUCCUCCCCCAAACGAUCAAUGGUUGAUUACAAAUAUCUAGAAUUUAUAUUCUCUAUUAUAUUCUGUAUUCUCUAUAAAGGACCUGAAAUACCCUGCUUACGUAUCAUUAAAAAGUGCAUUAACAUAAAUACGGCAGUAAGAAGAGGUAAUACAAAAGUGUGUAAACUAUAAAAACGAGUCAAAGUGGAUUGUCCUACACUAGCACUUCCGCGUAAUAACUCCACCAAAGGCGAUCCUAUUACAGGAAUAGCUUCCGGCACGCCUGUUACAAUUUUGACCGCCCAAUAACCAAUUUGGUCCCAAGGUAAGGAAUAACCAGUUACACCAAAAGAUGCGGUCAAUACAGCAAGAACCACGCCCGUAACCCAAGUCAAUUCACGAGGUUUUUUAAAGCCACCAGUGAGAUAUACACGAAAUACGUGCAGGAUCAUCAUUAAAACCAUCAUACUUGCCGACCAUCGAUGCACUGAGCGGAUUAACCAACCAAAGUUAGCCUCAGUCAUUAUGUAUUGAACAGAAGCAAAAGCCUCAGUAACGGUCGGACGGUAGUAAAAAGUCAUAGCAAACCCCGUAGCUACUUGUACUAAAAAACAAGUAAGCGUAAUUCCUCCUAAACAAUAAAAUAUGUUGACAUGGGGAGGAACAUAUUUACUAGUUAUAUCAUCUGCAAUUGCCUGAAUCUCGAGACGUUCUUCGAACCAAUCAUAGACUUUAUUGAGAUAGGUAAACCAAAAGGACUCCCCCUCCGAGAACCGUAUAUGAGAAUUUCAUCUCGUACGGCUCAAACAGAACCACCCAAAUACCAGUUGAAACAGAUAUGUGUAAUAUAAACUUCUUAAUCCUAUGAUUCAACAGUUUUCUCUGAAGAUGAUGAUACGAAAAAAGAAAAACCCGAAAACUCUUCUUUGUGGUUAUAACGCCAAAAUAUCAAGUCGGCUCAUUCAUCUCUUGGUAUUGAUUGUUACAGGCCUCUUGAAUCUUCUAUUUACCCAUUUUUUUCCUUGAUUUAGUAUUUUUAUUUGUAUGUAACGCAAUCUUAUUGCUAGGAAUUUUCUUGUUAAGAUCCUAUAAAUCGAUUGAAACCUCAGAUUCAUACUAGAACCACGAUGAUUUAAUAAAACCCUCAAACUAAAGAUUCCUUGAGUAAGAACCGUUGUAUCAUCACUUAUUCAAUGAAUAUAAAUAUAAUGAGUAAAAAUCCAAAGAAAGGUUUAUCCUUUGAUCAAACAUAAAUUAAAAGUUUAAAAGAAGAAAAAUCUUUCAAUUUAUACCUUCUAACUCUUUGAAAUUUUUUGGAGUCCGGUCACGGGAUCUGAAUAUUAAGUAUGAAUCAUAGUUCUAAUACUUCGUAAUCUAUUUCAUAUAUUCCGUGCUCCAGAUACUAGAAUAAAAGAUACUAGAAUAAAUACCUGACGAGGUCAAAAAUCAUCUCUAUCAAGAUGACAGACCCACUCUCUGUACUAUCAAUAGGAUAAAUUAUAACAAGUCGCACACUCAUAUUCCAGAAAUACAGAAAAAAAAAAAGAAAUUGCACGAUCGAACUACCAAAAUAGAAUAAAAAAUCCGAGACCAAAACGAAGCGUUUUGUAUUGAAAAGCUAGGACUUAGUGGUUCUUGUAAAUCUAGUUCAUUGAAAUUCCAUCUAGUAAAACGGAAGAAUUAUAAAUCUCCAAAAUAAUAGAUAGGAAUAUCGCAAAUAGAGCCAUUGCGACACCCAUCAAAGGAGUAGUUCCCCAUCCAGGAGCUACUUUACCAUAUUCCGAAUUCAAUGGUUUCAAUAAAUCCCCUACAAUAGUUCGUCUUGGACCAGAUCUAGAACUACCCUCCACGCUUUGUGUAGCCAUAAAUCCUAUUUGUAUUAAUUGAGAUCUGUUGACUUUGUAUACCAUUCCGUUGUAAAUAAAUGAUCUUAUUAUAGAUCCAUUGGGGUCUUGAAAUUAUAUAAUAUAUAAUAAUGGAAACAGCAACCCUAGUCGCCAUCUCUAUAUCUGGUUUACUUGUAAGUUUUACUGGGUAUGCCUUAUAUACUGCUUUUGGGCAACCCUCUCAACAACUAAGAGAUCCAUUCGAGGAACACGGGGACUAGUUGAAGUAAAGAUAACGAAAAAUCAUUUUACCUUUUUAGUUGGAACUUUAGGCGGUUCUCGAAAAAAGAUAGCGAAAAAAAUUAUUCCUAAAGUUGAGACUAAAAGGAAUGUAUAAACCAAUGCUUCCAUAAAUUCAAUCGUGGUUUACAAUUAUAGCUUUCAUACCUGUUUAUUUUGGAUCGUCUCCCGGAUAAAAAAAGAACAAGAUUCAAAUUAAGAUGUCUCCGGUACCUUAAUGUCAAAUUACAAAAAGAAAAUAGAGGCGAAAAAUAAGAAAUAAAAUUUUGUAUCAGACUACUUGUCUUCUUGUAGUUGGAUCUCCAAGUUUUUGGAAUGCUCCAAAUUCCACUUGAGCAUCUAAAUCUGGAUCAAUACCAGCAAAAACAUCUCUGAACAAAGUUCGAGCACCAUGCCAAAUGUGUCCGAAGAAAAAGAGCAGAGCGAACGAAGCAUGUCCAAAAGUAAACCAACCCCUUGGGCUGCUACGAAAAACACCAUCGGAUUUCAAAGUAGCACGAUCUAAUUCAAAAAUUUCACCCAAUUGAGCGCGUCUAGCAUAUUUUUUCACAGUAGCAGGAUCACUAUAACUGACUCCGUUUAGUUCGCCACCAUAGAACUCAACAGUUACACCUACUUGUUCGACACUAUACUUCGACUCUGCCCUUCGAAAAGGAACAUCGGCUCUAACAAUUCCAUCUCCGUCUACCAAAACAACCGGAAAUGUUUCAAAAAAAGUAGGCAUACGACGUACAAAAAGUUCACGCCCUUCUUUAUCUCUAAAGAUAGGAUGUCCUAACCACCCAACAGCUAUUCCAUCCCCGUUGUCCAUUGAGCCUGCUCUGAACAACCCACCCUUUGCCGGAUUAUUGCCGAUGUAAUCAUAAAAAGCUAAUUUUUCGGGAAUUUUAGACCAAGCUUCGGAUAAACUUUGAUUUUCGGCUAGCCCAGCACUAACUCUUCGAUAUAUUUCUUGCUGGAAGUAUCCUUGAUCCCAUUGAUAACGAGUGGGACCAAAUAAUUCAAUCGGGGUAGUUGCUGAACCAUACCACAUAGUUCCAGCAACAACAAAAGCUGCAAAAAAGACAGCCGCGAUACUACUGGAAAGGACAGUUUCAAUAUUUCCCAUACGUAAUCCUUUGUAUAAACGUUGGGGCGGACGGACACUAAGAUGGAAUAGGCCCGCUAAUAUGCCCAAUGUCCCCGCUGCAAUAUGAUGAGAGGCUAUUCCUCCCGGAACAAAAGGAUCAAAACCUUCCACACCCCAUGCUGGACUUACAGGUUGUACCUUUCCAGUUAGUCCAUAAGGGUCGGACACCCAUAUUCCAGGACCAUACAAUCCGGUUACAUGAAAAGCGCCAAACCCAAAGCAAGCCACCCCGGAGAGAAAUAAAUGAAUUCCAAAGAUCUUGGGCAAAUCCAAAGAAGGUUUUCCUGUACGUUCAUCGCAAAAUAUUUCGAGAUCCCAAUACACCCAAUGCCAAAUAGCUGCCAAGAAGCACAAGCCAGAAAACACAAUAUGCGCCCCAGCCACGCCUUCAUAACUCCAAAUACCCGGAUUCGUUAUAGUUCCUCCUGUGAUACUCCAACCACCCCAUGAAUUGGUUAUUCCUAAACGAGUCAUAAAGGGUAUAACGAACAUACCUUGUCUCCACAUUGGAUCGAGAACGGGGUCAGAGGGAUCAAAAACUGCUAAUUCAUAUAGAGCCAUCGAACCGGCCCAACCAGCAACCAAAGCUGUAUGCAUUAUAUGGACAGACAGCAAACGACCGGGAUCAUUCAAUACGACGGUAUGAACACGAUACCAAGGCAAACCCAUGGAAAUACCCCUUUAUUAACGAAAAAUAGACACUAUGUAACUUUAUUGCACUGGAAAAAAGUAUGUUAUGGACCUCCCCUUUUAAGUGGAUUAUCUCGUAGAAAGAAUUAAUAUUUUUUUUCUAUUCUUUUUUUUUUUAUUUUAGUAAUAAUAAUAAUGUAACAAUUCUGUUUGUAGGAACAAAGAAAAGAGAAGCAGAUCUAUUCUAUACCCGAUAAGUACCAAUACGCAAUGGGGAGUUGACUCCAUUUUAUAUGAGCAAAUGCAUAGAGAUUUGUUCAUUACUCAAAAGACCUAUUCGUAAAAAUUGGACUCUAUUUGUUUUGUCUUCCUUUAUUUUAUUUUUUAUAAACUUAUCGAAUCCACGCAAAAAAUAUUAUAAAGGCCAAUAUUAUUAAGACAAUAAAUUCAUUGUUACGUUUUCACAUUAAAGUAAAAUAGAGUACUUAAUUUUUUUCUUUCAUUUAAUGCCUAUUGGUGUUCCAAAAGUCCCUUUUCGAAAUCCUGGGGAAGACGAUUCAAUUUGGAUUGACGUAUAGUGCGACUUGUCAGAUAUAUUGGGUCAUAUGGAAUUCCCCCGUUCUCUCCCCCGAUUGAGAUAUCCUCUGUUUCGCCCAAGAAAGAUUGAAUAAAUCAUCAAAAAUUUGGAGCGUGAAGUGCAAUGAAGUCCAAUUAGAUCUAGGCUUUUGAGGUACCCAGAUUAACAUUAUCAAUUAGAAUAAUUUAUGGUUGGCUUGUUUGGAUCAAAAAAACGAAGUAUCCAGGCUCCGUUUAGAAAACCCAAUUGAUAAUAUAUCUAUUAUGAUUACUUCUUGUAUCAUAUCCUAUUUAUAAAUUUUAUAAAUUAGGAAAAAUUUCAAACUGCUAAUCAUAUUCCAUCGAAAAAAUAUAAAUAGAAUGAAUACGUCAAAUAUUUGGCAGAAGGCGUGAAAUUAAUUAAAUAAAAAAAAAAGAAGUUGUAACAAAAAGACGCGGUAUUGGGGCAUUUGCCCUAUAUGUGCAAAUAAAAAUCGGGCAGAUCUUUACUCGGAGUAGAGCACAAACCUAAAAGAAUUGAAGAAGCCCAUUCAGGAACAAGAAAAUGCCAUCGUGAUUUGAAUUAAAUUUCGAUGAAAGAAUACAUCAAUGAGAAGUUAGUUUGAUAAGUUUAAUAAAUUUUUUUCUAGGUAAACGCGUCAAAACUCAUCUUUCUUGAAAAAUGGAAGAAAAGACCCUUCAUUAGAAAAAAAAAGGUUAAAAAGUACUCACUAUCAAAAAAAAGAGGGCUGGAAUCUACACAUUGAUUCUUUUUUUAUUUUCACGAUUUUUGUUGAACCAUAUGCAUCAAAAGGUGCAUGUACGGUUUCUAGAGGAUAGAUUUUUAUCCUAAUCAACCGACUUUAUCGAGAAAGAUUACUUUUUUUAGGUCAAGAUGUUGAUAGCGAGAUCUCGAAUCAACUUAUUGGUCUUAUGGUAUAUCUCAGUAUAGAAAGCGAGACAAAAGAUUUGUAUUUGUUUAUAAACUCUCCCGGCGGAUGGGUAAUACCCGGAAUAGCUAUUUAUGAUACUAUGCAAUUUGUGCGACCCGAUGUACAAACAGUAUGCAUGGGAUUAGCUGCUUCAAUGGGAUCUUUUAUUCUGGUCGGAGGAAAAAUUACCAAACGUUUAGCAUUCCCUCAUGCUAGGGUAAUGAUUCAUCAACCUAUU